UACGGGGGGAGCAAGCGUUGUUCGGAUUUACUGGGCGUAAAGGGCGCGUAGGCGGCCACCGCAAGUCGACUGUGAAAUCUCCGGGCUUAACCCGGAAAGGUCAGCCGAUACUGCGGGGCUAGAGUGCAGAAGGGGCAACUGGAAUUCCUGGUGUAGCGGUGAAAUGCGCAGAUAUCAGGAGGAACACCGGUGGCGAAGGCGGGUCUCUGGGCCGAUACUGACGCUGAGGAGCGAAAGCGUGGGGAGCGAACAGG
rnacentral:rRNA from 1 species